CCGGUGUGUCUGGGAGGAGGAGACGGAGACCUGUUGCUCUCUCACUCUGGAGAAUUGUAUGAGCUGCUUCAAUUAUACUGUGAUGCAUUUUGGCUAGUUCACUAAGAAAGAGUGGAAUUGAAAGGGAAUGUUUCCUUAACUACAAGUUGCCUCUGCAAAAUAAGCUGCAAGGAACCUGGGACACUUAAGGAGGCUGACAGGCAUGGAAAGGUCAAAAUAAAGCAGGAGAGCUGUUUCAGCAUAUUCCUUCUGGUUCUGGUGAUGCGGGUAGCCCCUUAGGGAGGUAACGGAGAUGCUCUUUGCCCACAUUCUUGCUACUCAGCCAUAGGGAGCCACUGACUAUCUUCAUACUGCUGCUUCACUUCUACCGCAGGCUGGAUACACGACAAACAGCUAAAACUCAGUCCAGACAAUAUGGAAAUAUUCGUUGUGGGACACGCCAUCUGGAAGAGCUCAUCGCUUGAUGGCUGCCCUACGUAUUGGUGGGAUUUAACCCAAGCAAACUGAGGUUUGCAUCCCGAGGGUCAUUUCUGACAGCAAUCUGAACUUGGAAAGCUUUUAUUUCUUUAUUUAUGAAAGCAAUCGUCAAAAGAGGCUUUUUUUAAAAAAAAAAUUCUAAAGUAUUCAAAAUUUGUGACCUUUAAUUCCAGGCACAGACCUUGUCAUCGUGAUCUAUGUCUUUGUGGCCUCAAGGCCAGAUUACCGUAAUGUGCACCAUUGAAAACCACCUGCAGGCUGGAGCUAUUGCAGAACACAGAAGCAGGACUGCUCAAGGGGCUUCAUCUGUAAGAGUUGGCAAACCCCCAUGCUCUGUAAACUACAUUAGCAAGUAUGAUGCAAGGUCCUUUACUAUUAUUUUUUAAAGCCUAAAACAAUAUGGAGCCGGAAUCCCUGAAGUAGCAGUUACUGACCUGUUCUCUACUGUGGCAAUUGUGAACAGUGGGGGUUGAAAAUUAUAAUCAUUUCUAAAUAUAAUAUGAUCUAAUGACAACAAGUGCAGGGUGUUCUCCCUCUUAGGGAAGCAGCUCUAGCCUGAUCCAUCAUGCACUAAUCUUGAAAGUAGGUCUGUGACAUUCUUUGAUCUCAGAAUCUUUGUGCACCCUGUUUGGUUUAUGUUGUUUAGUGUCAGGUUAUUUGAAAAUAUAACAACCAUCGAAGACAGAAAAGAGCCCCAUCAAAUCAUCUAGACAAUUUCCCUGCCAAGGCAGGAUUGCGGAAACAAGAUUAUUCCCCAGUGCAUGCUUAGUAGUGUUGUGUCCCAACCAGACAGCGGGGCUUCCCCCAUUUUCCUUGGGAGCCAAUUCCACACCCUACUAGCUUAUGUAUCAGCAGGUUUCUUGAUAUUUUGAGCACAUUUUCCUUUCUUUUAAGUAUGACCAGAUCUCUACUUCAAUGAAAGAGACUCCUGAACUAAAACACCAGAUCUGACCUCAUGGUUUUGUAUUCUUCAUGAGUUUUGUAUCCAUGCCUACAUCUAGACCUGCAGCCAAUAAAUGGCCCUAUCUUUAGAACAAGUUAAACUAAAACACCUCAUCGAACACAUCUUCACUUUAUAAUAGGACCUAAAUACCUUGAAACUCCAGGGUGUUAAAAUAUGGAUCCAGACUUAGCAGGUGGGCCUAGCGCUCAUCAUAUUCUAUGGCGUGAUGCUUCUUUUGUUUAUUUUGCACCUGCACUUGGAAUUAUGUGGACAAGUUGAUUAUGUAUGAUAAUUGGGUGCCUGAUUUUUCAGCCCUUAAAUAUGUGACUAGGCCCACUAAAAUCAUUGAGACUAUUCAGGGGCGGAUGGACUGCAGGAGUGGGCCCUUAGCAUUUUUGCUAAAGCUCAGAG